CCUACGGGAGGCAGCAGUGAGGAAUAUUGGUCAAUGGACGAGAGUCUGAACCAGCCAAGUAGCGUGAAGGAUGAAUGCCCUAUGGGUGGUAAACUUCUUUUAUAGGGGAAUAAAAUGUGCCACGUGUGGGAUUUUGUAUGUACCAUAUGAAUAAGGAUCGGCUAACUCCGUGCCAGCAGCCGCGGUAAUACGGAGGAACCGAGCGUUAUCCGGAUUGAUUGGGUUUAAAGGGAGCGUAGGUGGAUUGUUAAGUCAGUUUUGAAAGUUUGCGGCUCAACCGGAAAAUUGCUGUUGAAACUGGCAGUCUUGAGUACAGUAGAGGUGAGCGGAAUUCGUGGUGUAGCGGUGAAAUGCUUAGAUAUCACGAAGAACUCCGAUUGCGAAGGCAGCUCGCUGGACUGCAACUGACACUGAGGCUCGAAAGUGUGGGUAUCAAACAGGAUUAGAUACCCCAGUAGUC
rnacentral:rRNA from 1 species